UUGGCGCUUUUUUUAUUUCUGUGUGGUGAGGUUUAUUGACGUGCGUAUAGGUGCAGUGGCACGCAGUAUGGCUAGUACAAAAAAAGGGGGGGGGGCAGAUAUAUGUAGCUCACUGUACACGACACAGGGCAAAGGAAAUCCGUGUUCAGCAACUAUGUUAAAUGCCAUGUACGUAAAUUUUACAACGCUACUCGUUCGAAGCGCGCACAGGUGCAUAUUGAAGAAAAGUUUCCAGGGUAGAUAAUUUAGUUCGUAAUUUACACUAAUUUUGCUCUUACCACGAGACAUAAUAAUUUGAAUAUACUGCACGGAAAAACCUAGAGCGAAUUAAAUUGUGUGUCAGCUUCGUGUGUAUACAUAUAGUCUUUCCUAUGCAUCAGGUUUUUUGCGUAAUGCAUUAACAGUUGACAGCCUAUCUUAUGAUUCGUACUCUGUUUACAUUACAGUUGUUCAUAAGUUUACUCGUUUGUUUUGCGACUGAUGAAAUGCCGGCAUAUAUAUAUUUUCAGCAUUUGACAUAACCCUGUAUGUUUUGCAGGGACAACCCAGGACGUGCAUUUCUCAGCACCCAGUCAACUGCCAAAAGUGACUCAAACACAGGCCACCAGUGGAACUCGGCUGUACCACUGCAGUGCUGCGGGAAUUGCCUUCACCAGCGGCUUUGCAACAGCUGUUUCGCAGCAUGUCGGAGGCAAUGCCUACGAAAUUAUUGGCCCUGAUCAUGAGAGCCCUCAAGGGGCAAACAACAUCUCUGUUGCAGAAGUGAGCCCGGUACCACUUGGAAGUUACCAUGACAGAUGACACGGCAGCAAUAGAUACAGAGACUGCCAUGUCUACUGCAGCUGCAACAGUGUACGAGGCAAGCAGCAGCGCGUCAGCAUCAGCAGCAGUGUCAGAAGGAACCACACCAGGCCUGGUAGAGCAACAUGUGUGCUAUCACUGACUUUUUUUGUAGUGGAUACAACUCAUUUGCUCAACAUACAAAAGCUUUUCACCACGACUGUGAGCCAGUGUUAUUGUGCAGCAAGUGCAAGACUAAGUUAGGUGUUAUAACACAGUACAAGCAUCACUUUAAUAUAUGCAAAUGCAAACAUAUUACAGUUGUUGCCUCCCCAGCCAGCCCACAUAGUGACAACAAUGUGGAACACAUGGUGGGACACACCUCUCCCCCAUUACAAGAUAGUAGAGACUGUCAGUGUUGUUGCUAGAUUGACUGGUCUUUGUAGGCAACUAGAAGGACAACACAGGUGUCAUAAGAUUGCUGUUGAUGUUGAAGAGGUAAAUAAGAAGUUUGAUGCAGCUGAAGUGCCAACUGAUAUUGAGCAAAUCAAAAGCAACCACCUGAGAAAGCAACACUAUGGAAAUUUGGGUAUCUAUGUGCCGCCAACUCUGGUAAGAAUGGCAUAGGACAGAAGUGUGAUGAAAAUCACACAGACACUGCUGUUGCAUCACUGGCCACAGUGAGCAGCGACUUGUAGGGCAAGAGAGCCAACUGAAACUAACAUUAUGAUAUAGUGUCAUGCUCCCAUGUGACCACUUUUCAAGUUAUUUUGCAAGAUACAGCUCAACCUCCAGAAACGAGACUGCAACUUGUCUGUAAAAAAGCUUUCACAAAAAUUUAUUCAUAACACUAUUAACAUAGCAGUAUAUUUUUUUUUUUGUGUGUGUCGGUUCGAGGUUCCCGGCUGUCCAUUAAUGCAAAAAUUGAGGAAAAAAAGAACAUGUGUCGUACUUACACCUUUUUAACAAGUACGAGGGGGACAGAACUUUUCUAGUCAUGCAUCUUCAUCAUACUAUCAAGUUUUUAAAUGCCUUUUAUAAUUAUUCU